rnacentral:rRNA from 1 species
CACGUAGGGGGCGAGCGUUGUCCGGAUUUAUUGGGCGUAAAGAGCUCGUAGGCGGUUUCGUAAGUCGGAUGUGAAAACUCCAGGCUCAACUUGGAGACGCCAUUCGAUACUGCGAUGACUUGAGUCCGGUAGGGGAGUGUGGAAUUCCUGGUGUAGCGGUGAAAUGCGUAGAUAUCUGGAGGAACACCGGUGGCGAAGGCGGCAUCCUGGACCGACACUGACACUGAGGAGCGAAAGCCAGGGGAGCAAACGGG